rnacentral:rRNA from 1 species
CCUACGGGAGGCAGCAGUAAGGAAUAUUGGUCAAUGGGCGCAAGCCUGAACCAGCCAUGCCGCGUGCAGGAUGACGGCCCUCUGGGUUGUAAACUGCUUUUAUACGGGAAGAACAGCAUCUACGUGUAGGUGUUUGACGGUACUGUAAGAAUAAGGACCGGCUAACUUCGUGCCAGCAGCCGCGGUAAUACGAAGGGUCCAAGCGUUAUCCGGAUUUAUUGGGUUUAAAGGGUGCGUAGGCGGCUUUUUAAGUCAGUGGUGAAAGCCUGAUGCUCAACAUCAGAACUGCCAUUGAUACUGAAGAGCUUGAGUACAGUUGAGGUUGGCGGAAUGUGUCAUGUAGCGGUGAAAUGCUUAGAUAUGACACAGAACACCGAUUGCGAAGGCAGCUAGCUAAGCUGUUACUGACGCUGAUGCACGAAAGCGUGGGGAGGACAACAGAUAGUAUACCUACGUACGUACCGACCGACCCUAACCGUUACGUAUAACUACGUUAGUUAGUCGUAUAUACUAGUUAGU